rnacentral:rRNA from 1 species
UACGAAGGGGGCUAGCGUUGCUCGGAAUCACUGGGCGUAAAGCGCACGUAGGCGGACUCUUAAGUCAGGGGUGAAAUCCUGGAGCUCAACUCCAGAACUGCCUUUGAUACUGGGAGUCUUGAGUUCAGGAGAGGUGAGUGGAACUGCGAGUGUAGAGGUGAAAUUCGUAGAUAUUCGCAAGAACACCAGUGGCGAAGGCGGCUCACUGGCCCGAUACUGACGCUGAGGUGCGAAAGCGUGGGGAGCAAACAGG